UGAUGAGGUGUCUCGGACUGGCUGCCG
rnacentral:piRNA from 1 species